GACGAACCGUGCGAACGUUGUUCGGAAUCACUGGGCUUAAAGGGCGCGUAGGCGGGCUCGCAAGUCAGGGGUGAAAGCCCGCGGCUCAACCGCGGAAGCGCCUUUGAUACUGCGGGCCUCGAGGGGGGUAGGGGCGUGCGGAACUUCCGGUGGAGCGGUGAAAUGCGUAGAUAUCGGAAGGAACACCGGUGGCGAAAGCGGCGCGCUGGACCCCCACUGACGCUGAGGCGCGAAAGCUAGGGUAGCAAACGGG
rnacentral:rRNA from 1 species